CUAGAUUACCUGUAAGUAAAAUGAAAAUGAAUUAGAUUAUGGUUCAGAAAAUAACGCAAAAAUAUACUUACCCAGCUUGUACCACACGAGAGUCGAAGAAGAACCGUAACCGUAACAUCGCGCUGCAUUGUACGGUUGAUGUUGAAGAGGAGAUAACGGAAGUAGCAAAAGGAUCCGGAAGGAAGUUAUAUCGUAAGGCAGGAGGAAAACUAUUUGAUUUUUGAGCUGCUCCGAAAAGCUGCUACAAAAUAAAUAACGUACCCGAACAAU